AUUCAAAUCAUGAGAGGGUCAUGUAAAAUGCAGAUUCUGAUUCAAUAGAAGAGGCAGGAGGCCUGAGAGUCUGAAUUCCUAGCAAACUCCCAGAUGAUCUGAUG
rnacentral:pre_miRNA from 1 species